CACGUAGGCACCAAGCGUUGUCCGGAUUUAUUGGGCGUAAAGAGCUCGUAGGCGGUUCAGUCAGUCGGGUGUGAAAUCUCCGGGCUCAACUCGGAGGGGCCACCCGAUACUGCUGUGACUCGAGUCCGGUAGGGGAGUGGGGAAUUCCUGGUGUAGCGGUGAAAUGCGCAGAUAUCAGGAGGAACACCGGUGGCGAAGGCGCCACUCUGGGCCGGUACUGACGCUGAGGAGCGAAAGCGUGGGUAGCAAACAGG
rnacentral:rRNA from 1 species